UGAUGGCAUUUUGGAAGCUCAUGGAAAAAGUUGACAUGUCAUAGUAAAAUAACACAGCGGCAAUAGUGGUGAUCAAUAUUUAUUUUGUACGAUUUUUUUAACUUCAUAGAGAUGUCGAUAAUAAAUGUAGAACCAUGUAUUCUUCAUUUUCCCUUUGUAUUUGUGGUUGUUGUUUUAUUCAACUUUUUUUCUCCGUUCGUCACCAGAGAUGAAGAGACUGACUAUUAAUAAGAGUGUAACCUUAGCAAAGCGUGCAACAAAAUCGUUCGGCAGCAAAAACAACAUUGGCAUAAAAAUUCUAAGAAAAAUGCAGAGGCACGGUUUUGAGUGGAUACAAUAUGUUACAAAUAAAUAAUAUGACGAUUUGAAGUUAAUAAGGAAUUUUGACCAAUAACUGUAGCAGUUGAAAACGUGACAUGCAUUAAUUCUUUUAAAUCAAACUUUCCAAAGGGCAGAAAAAACAAAAUUUGUAAUUGGAAAUAAGAGUAUUGUAUUCAUUUAUAAGAUAAAAAUAUUGUAUUACUGCCUCUAAUAUUGUAUCAUCAACUAAUUUUGCCUUAAGUUAUUAAUUUGAUUUUAUUGUUGUCUUCUAAGAAAUUUUACCAUUAUUCCAUAGCAACUCAAGCAAUCCAAUAUUAAAUAAAA